rnacentral:lncRNA from 1 species
GUUAAGGCCUCGGCCUAGAUGUGGCCUUAUCAAUAUUGAUCAUGGAAAGUUAUCAUGCAUGGUCCAUGGUGUUCUAGCCUUGUGGUCAACUGGCAACCAAUCACUGUGGUUAGAUGGUAGCCGAUGAAAUUAUUACUUUUCAGUUCUCCAUGGUGGUCUUGGUGAGUCAUUGGACAAAGUCAUCGGCAUAGUGUUAAUGUCCUCGAUAGGUGGCCAA